rnacentral:lncRNA from 1 species
AAGAACAAUUCAGCUUUGCUUCAAGCAAAUGAGUUUGCAUUAAGAUGUUCAUUAGGCAUCUCUGUUGACUCACUGGAAAUUAAUCAGCUUCAAGAAUCUGUGCUUUUAAAGCUGGACACUUCAAUCAGUGUGAAUCGAUAUAUUGCUCUAGCGCAGCUAAAUAAGUUUUAGUUGUUCGUUAAAGUAAAUUAUCGCUUAUAUAAAUUUUAAAAAAUAAUAAUAACUGAUGAGGGUUUCCCCAUAUUGGUUGUUUGAACCAUUCAUACUCUAUAUUGGUUUCUUGCUCAAUGCUUCAUAUUAGUUUGUUCGAAGGUUGGCCUUCAAAGGACAAAGUGAAAGUGACAAAUUGCAAAAACAUAUAUAUUAAAAAUAUAUUUAGAACUAAAUAACAGAGGACAUGAAUGAUCCUCUUUAGACCAAACAAAAAAAGGGUGAAUCCUGAGGAUGAUUAAAAUUUGUUAACAUUUUUUCAUCUAAUCCCUGACCAAUGGGGCAGGAUUGCUAGGGGAAUAGGGGAUUGCAGCUAAACCCAAUGUGUGGAUAGACUUGAAUUACUUCUAAUUAGUGAUAAACAUAAUCUACAUAAUUUGCAUAAUGAUGAGUUGUCUUUUGACGUGUCAUCGACUGAAGUACUAGUAAUUGAUAAGAUGUGGGAGUGGACGGUUGAGAGCAUGAAAUAAACAUUUAUAUUUACUUAUUAGUUUUCUCCAAUAUCUUAAUUGACUCCCAUCACCUUGAUUCACUUUGAUAUAUUUAUAAUAUUUAACAAACCAAAUUUACAUGAUGCAAUGUUCACAACAAAAACAUUUAUAUAUAUAAACUAUUCAUGCGUUUGAAAAUUAUCACAAAAUUCUAGUGAGAAAAGAAGACACAAGAAAUUUAUUCAAAACUUUAGCCAGGUUUCAAAAUUAUCACAAAAUCCUCAUGAAAUUUUUUGGAAUUUUGAGCACUUGUUCCCAAAUAAAUUUUUUGAAACCAUAAGGAUUGCAGAUCAAUUUUGACGUCGUAAUAAUGUAUUAAUAUAGUUUUGUUAGAAGUUCAACAUUGCCAUUUACCUAACUGUAGCUUACUACUCAUUGUGACAUUAAGCUAACUGUGGCUAACUAGUUCUCUUUGGCCUUGUUUGGUGAGUUGGACUGGAUGAGACCUUUUCAAUUAAAAUGGACAUGGAUCCAGUCUGUUGUUUGGUGAAUUACAUUUUGUUUGUUUCUUUUUAGGUUAUAAUUCUGACUUGAGCUUAGGGGUGGGCACGGUUCGGUUUGGACCGGUUUUUGCCUCAAAUUAGAACCGAUCUGAUACUAUUCAUCCGGUUUGGUUCGGUUCGGUUUUAAUAAAAAAAAAUUCAAAAACUGUCCGGUUCGGUUUGAACCGAUUUCGGUCCGGUUCCGGUUCCGGUUCGAUUUUGAACCGGAUUAUAAAAAUUAUUAUUUUUAAUUGUUUUUUAAUACAAUUCUCAACUGAAAUAUUAUUUUUUUACUUGAAAAUUAACAAAUUAUUCAAUUUCAUAUAAAAAAUAAAUAUUAAAGUGAGAAAAGAGAGAUAUUUUGACAUUGAACUUGGAUAAAUAUUAGUUUUUUUUAGUGAAAUUAAAAAUAUAGCAUUAAAUAUAAUUAUAUAUUGAAAUUAUAUAUUUUUUUAGUUUCACCGGUUCGGUUCGGCCCGGUUCGAUUUUUAAAGACAUGAAACCGGAUCCGGAACCGGUCCAAACCGGUCUGGUUCGGUUUUUGACUGGUUUUUGACUUUUUGGUCAACUCAGUUUUUUUCCGGUUUGGUUCGAUGCGGUUCGGUUCGGAUUUCCGGUUCGCCGGUUUGAGUGCCCAACCCCUACUUGAGCUCAUAUAAUUUUUUUUUAACUUAUCGAAAAAAUAUUACAAAAGAUACAUAGAGAAUAGAAGGCCACAUUUUGGUAAUUUGCCUAGGGCCUCCAAAACCUUAUAGGACCGCCACUAUAUUGAGCUUUGGGCUGGUGCAAUAUAGAACCAAGGUUGGUACAAAGGCUUAACUCGAGCUGGGUUACUAUAUGAUUAGCAUGGUCCGCCCAUAGUAUUGGGUUGAUCCAGCUGCCCGCCUAAUCAAAACCUCCAUGGCCAUGGAGUCAUUUUAUAGUGAUGGUCUUAUUUAAGGCCUUUAGUCUCAAUCGUUGGAUCAAACUAACUAAUUUAUUUCAACGGUUAAGCAAUAAGCCUCAUCUAAGGGCUUUAUAAGGCCCUCACUAUAAAAUUCUACUAUGGUCAUGUUAUGUUAUCAUGAGGUUCACAUUGAUUACAUUGGAUUAAUCACAGCUUCUUGAUGGAAUUAAUUGAUAAUUUUACUACAUUUGAUACAAGUGAUAUUGGGAGAGAGGAGAAUCAAACUUAUGAUCUCCAGUGCAAGGGUUAAUGUGUUUAACUACCACUAAAACUAUAAGCUUCUUGGAAUAAUUCAUUUACAUUUUAGACUAGAAUGAUUAGACAUAGUCAAAUUCAAGUUAUUUUUAGACGACCAAACACGUGACUAGGUUUUGAGUUUGUUUCGUUUUGUGAUAUUUGUGUGUUUAAACCAAUUUCGAUGUCAUUGUCCCAAAAACCCUAGCCCCUUUUCUCCCAAAAAACACUCAUAGAGUUUUUUCCACUUUGAGGGGGGAGGAAGCCAUUGUUCUUCCCCCAUCUCCCCUCUUCUCUUCCUCCUUUCACCUCUUCCCCCAUUUUCAAAGACAAAGGGUUUUUCCUAUUUGUCUUAGUUUUGUUAUGAUUUUCAUCCAACUAUUAUAGGCGACUGCGGCUCAGCGUCAGAUCUUCACUUGCAUUUCGGCGUCAGAUCUCCACCAUAAUCUGUUUUGCAAUUUCUUUAUGUUUGGAAUAAGUUGCAGAGACUCUUUGGGUUCUCUGUGUAGUUUUCACCUCUCCUUUUGUGAGAGUUUUUAUCUCUCAUUUGUGAGAGCUUUUCAUCUCUCAUUUGUGAGAGUUUUAUUUGUAUUGUUAUGGCUUGAUUUUUUCAAGCUUUAUCUUUUUUUUAUUAUUCUAAGUUUGCAAUCUUAGUUGGGAUGCCUAUGUCAAAGUUUCUUCGAUCCUGCCUGAUCGUUAGUGGAGACACAUCAGAUUGUCUUAAUUUUGAUAUCAGACCACUCCGUUAUUGUAAUUGCCCUUUUGUGGCUAGUUUGUAUCGGCCCUUUGUGGCUAGUGGCUGUUUUGGCUGAAUUAUGAAUGCAAUCAUAGAAUUUCUCAACCAAAAAAAAAAAAAAACACGUGACUAGGAUUGUGAAUCCUUUGCCAAACAUGUAGCUUCAAUAUUCAUAACAUAACACAAUCAAAGUUUAGUGACCAUUAAUAGUCUAAUAAUCAUGCAUGUAAUAGCAUUAUAAGCAGAUAACUUCUAAAACUUUUUCUAAGAAAUCCAAAUGGUUGGUUGCUUCUAGAAGACCUAAUUCUAGUUGUGCUGGGUAGCCAUUAGGUCAUGCAAAGAAACCAAAGCCAUAGCAAUCAAAAUCCUCAUCUGCCUAUUUUUAUUAGUAAGAGGGUUCUGAGUGUUAGGCGGUGUGCUGAGUGAGUCUUCUCAGCUAGCCUCAGCCCUCGGUGUCAGAGUCUCAUACCUCUACACACUGUCGUAAUCCUUCGAAUUCUGAGCGUAAGAAACCGGCAAUUUGGACUAUUGAUUUAAUAUUGCGUUUUUUCAUUAGUAUUGUUACGGACACCAACUUCUUGUUCUCAAUUCCUGUGAUAUAUGACAUUGCAAUACUGUAAUAUCUUUUUGGUGUGAUAUAACACUUUUCGUAAUUAAAUUUUCUUGAUUCUAAUUGAAAUGUAAUGGUAAAACAUCGCGCAUGCUAUUUAGCCUAUUAAUACAUUUCCUUCUUGGUUUAUUUGAUUGGGGAAGAGGUUAGGGAAGAUUUAAUACUUCGGAGUAAAAGUAUUAUCUUAGUUUUAACAAAAUAUCAAAUCACAAAAUUCACGAGAAUCAGUAAUUAGUGUAAUAAUUUGAGUGAAGGCUAACACAAAGAUGUCAUACGAAUCUCCUUUGUUGUAUACGACAUAUCAUUUGGGGCUAAGCUUAGGAAUAGCAGACAAAAAAACCAUAGCGGGCUUGGUUUAAACAUCAGUCCAAUGAACAAAAUAUAUGAAGUUUAAGCCCAACCCAAAUCAACCAAUCUUAAAGUUUAUGCGGCAUUAAGAGUAGUAUGUCAAUUUGGUUUGAUUUAAUUAAGAACCAAGUGAAACUGCAUAUUCUUUAUAUAAAUGAUUCAUUAACCUAAGCCUAAGUUGCCAGUAUUUAAGUUACUAAUUAGAAGGCCACAGAACAAAAAAAAGAAGAAAAAAUUGGUUUCAUCUAGCUCUGCAAUCUGUUGUGCUAUUGUGAUUGUUGCUUCUUUUUUCAUAGGUUCUUCUUUUGCAGUCUCUAACAAGACCCUGACCAAGAUUUGCAUCCAAAACCCAAAAUCCAAAAAAAGUGUGACAAAUUUACAAACUGUCCCAUGCACCACCUCAGCUGACCUGCCUAAACUCUCACUAAUUUCUAUAGAGCUAGCAGGGAAGCAAGCUGACCAAAACCUUGAGACUUUCAAAGAGCUAAGCCACAAUGCCACUGCAGCUAAGAUGAAAGAGGAGUUUGAUGUCUGUGUGAGAUUUUACAAGGAGGUAAGGCCCCAAAUCCAAGCAGCACAUCUCUUGUCACAGAAGAGACAAUUAGGAGAACAAUUCAGCUUUGCUUCAAGCAAAUGAGUUUGCAUUAAGAUGUUCAUUAGGCAUCUCUGUUGACUCACUGGAAAUUAAUCAGCUUCAAGAAUCUAUGCUUUUAAAGUUGAACACUUCGAUCAGUGUGCUCUAGCGCAGCUAAAUAAGUUUUAGCUGUUCGUUAUCGCUUAUAUAAAUUAGAAAUAAUAAUAAUAACUGAUGAGGGUUUCCCGAUAUUGGUUGUUUGAACCAUUCAUACUCUCUGUAUUGGUUUCUUGCUCAAUGCUUCAUAUUAGUUUGUUCGAAGGUUGGCCUUCAAAGGACAAAGUGAAAGUGACAAAUUGCAAAUGUAUAUAAAUUAAAAAUAUAUUUAGAACUAAAUAACAGAGGACAUGAAUGAUCCUCUUUAGACCAAACAAAAAAAGGGUCCUUACACAUAAAAAAAAAUGACUCCCAAGUUAAAUAAUCCUAGGGAGACAAGAAAAAAAAAAUCCAAUACAUUCUAUAUAGACUUCAUUCUCUUUGAGAAACAGCAGGGGCCAACUAAGCAGCAGAUGGGGCGGUUCUGAAAUUGACAACGCCAGCCUCCGACAGAGCCGCCUUGAAUGCCUGCAG